UUGACGCUGGCGGCAGGCUUACACAUGCAAGUCGAGCGGAGAGAGGUAGCUUGCUACUGAUCUUAGCGGCGGACGGGUGAGUAAUGCUUAGGAAUCUGCCUAUUAGUGGGGGACAACAUUUCGAAAGGAAUGCUAAUUCCGCAUACGUCCUACGGGAGAAAGCAGGGGAUCUUCGGACCUUGCGCUAAUAGAUGAGCCUAAGUCGGAUUAGCUAGUUGGUGGGGUAAAGGCCUACCAAGGCGACGAUCUGUAGCGGGUCUGAGAGGAUGAUCCGCCACACUGGGACUGAGACACGGCCCAGACUCCUACGGGAGGCAGCAGUGGGGAAUAUUGGACAAUGGGCGCAAGCCUGAUCCAGCCAUGCCGCGUGUGUGAAGAAGGCCUUAUGGUUGUAAAGCACUUUAAGCGAGGAGGAGGCUACUUUAGUUAAUACCUAGAGAUAGUGGACGUUACUCGCAGAAUAAGCACCGGCUAACUCUGUGCCAGCAGCCGCGGUAAUACAGAGGGUGCAAGCGUUAA
rnacentral:rRNA from 1 species